UACGUAGGGUGCAAGCGUUAAUCGGAAGUUACUGGGCGUAAAGCGUGCGCAGGCGGUGAUGUAAGACAGGUGUGAAAUCUCCGGGCUUAACCUGGGAACUGCAUUUGUGACUGCAUCGCUGGAGUGCGGCAGAGGGGAUGGAAUUCCGCGUGUAGCAGUGAAAUGCGUAGAUAUGCGGAGGAACACCGAUGGCGAAGGCAAUCCCCUGGGCCUGCACUGACGCUCAUGCACGAAAGCGUGGGGAGCAAACAGG
rnacentral:rRNA from 1 species